rnacentral:misc_RNA from 1 species
UACGAGGGCCUCAAGCGUUAUCCGGAAUUACUGGGCGUAAAGGGUGUGUAGGCGGUGUUGUUAGUCCUUUGUUAAAUCCACAGGCUCAACCUGUGCACGGCAAGGGAAACGGCAACACUUGAGGGCACGAGAGGUGUACAGAACUCACGGUGUAGGGGUGAAAUCCGUUGAUAUCGUGGGGAAUGCCAAAAGCGAAGGCAGUACACUGGCGUGUUCCUGACGCUGAGACACGAAAGCCAGGGUAGCGAACGGG